UCCACUGAGAUUCAGCCCU
rnacentral:snRNA from 1 species